UGUGAGAGAAGAAAGAAUAGAAGAAGAGAGAAAGAGAGAAGAGAGAAGAAUAGAAUAGAAGAGAGGAGAGAGCGGAAAGAAGAAGAAGACAUGAGAGACAUACCAGGUCCUUUUUCCAACAGCUGUGGCGUGAAAUGAGAGCCUCUACUUAGGAUUUUUUGCUUUUUGCUGUUCAAACAACAAAUAAAAAAAAGUGAUUGUUACAUAAUUGUUGCAUAACAAAGGCAUCACCUCCAUCGCCC
rnacentral:misc_RNA from 1 species